CACGUAGGGGACGAGCGUUGUCCGGAAUUAUUGGGCGUAAAGCGCGCGUAGGCGGUCGUGCAAGUCGGAUGUGAAAAUCCCGGGCUCAACCCGGGACCUGCACCCGAUACUGCUCGACUCGAGGUAGGUAGGGGAGAUCGGAAUUCCUGGUGUAGCGGUGAAAUGCGCAGAUAUCAGGAGGAACACCGGUGGCGAAGGCGGAUCUCUGGGUCUUACUCUGACGCUGAGGCGCGAAAGCUAGGGGAGCGAACGG
rnacentral:rRNA from 1 species